GCAGCAACAGCUGGACUGCUUCCAAGUGGAAGUGCUCACAGAACAACCAUUCGGCAGGCACCGGCUACACGGACUGAGAAGCUGAUAACUGAUCAGAGUCAAGCUGAGCCUAUCAACCCCUUUCCAUGUCCCCAGAGAUAAACAGGAGCAAACCUAAGAUAAAACACCACCGAGUGCACUUCCCUGGGACCAUUUCAAGAGCUUCAGACCUCUGGAAACACAUAUGUGAACCAGCAGGAUGGCCACAUCACCCAUAGGGCAGUAGAGGUAGAUGCCAAAUGCAGAGAAACUGAGUCAUAAAUGUCUGUAACUCUUCCUGUGGGUGUGAGGAACCUGUCUCUCAACCCAGCUUGAAUGGGAUUUGUUUCUGCAACUGGAAUAAUCUUAAAUCAUCCAUUCUGACACCAGAGACUCAGCACUUUCAGUUUCAGAAUUUCAUCAUGAUGGUGGGAAACAUGGCAGC
rnacentral:lncRNA from 1 species